GCAUGCAGGUGGUUUGUUAAGUCAGAUGUGAAAGCCCGGGGCUCAACCUCGGAAUUGCAUUUGAAACUGGCAGACUAGAGUACUGUAGAGGGGGGUAGAAUUUCAGGUGUAGCGGUGAAAUGCGUAGAGAUCUGAAGGAAUACCGGUGGCGAAGGCGGCCCCCUGGACAGAUACUGACACUCAGAUGCGAAAGCGUGGGGAGCAAACAGGAUUAGAUACCCUGGUAGUCCACGCCGUAAACGAUGUCUACUUGGAGGUUGUGGCCUUGAGCCGUGGCUUUCGGAGCUAACGCGUUAAGUAGACCGCCUGGGGAGUACGGUCGCAAGAUUAAAACUCAAAUGAAUUGACGGGGGCCCGCACAAGCGGUGGAGCAUGUGGUUUAAUUCGAUGCAACGCGAAGAACCUUACCUACUCUUGACAUCCAGAGAACUUUCCAGAGAUGGAUUGGUGCCUUCGGGAACUCUGAGACAGGUGCUGCAUGGCUGUCGUCAGCUCGUGUUGUGAAAUGUUGGGUUAAGUCCCGCAACGAGCGCAACCCUUAUCCUUGUUUGCCAGCGAGUAAUGUCGGGAACUCCAGGGAGACUGCCGGUGAUAAACCGGAGGAAGGUGGGGACGACGUCAAGUCAUCAUGGCCCUUACGAGUAGGGCUACACACGUGCUACAAUGGCGCAUACAGAGGGCGGCCAACUUGCGAAAGUGAGCGAAUCCCAAAAAGUGCGUCGUAGUCCGGAUUGGAGUCUGCAACUCGACUCCAUGAAGUCGGAAUCGCUAGUAAUCGUGGAUCAGAAUGCCACGGUGAAUACGUUCCCGGGCCUUGUACACACCGCCCGUCACACCAUGGGAGUGGGCUGCAAAAGAAGUAGGUAGUUUAACCUUCGGGGGGACGCUUACCACUUUGUGGUUCAUGACUGGGGUGAAGUCGUAACAAGGUAGCGCUAGGGGAACCUGGCGCUGGAUCACCUCCUUAAACGAUGAU
rnacentral:rRNA from 1 species